AUGGAGAACGGAACCUGGCGGCUCGUCCCGCGGCCCCCCGGCGCCAGCAUCGUCACCGGCAAGUGGCUUUUUCGCCACAAACUCAAGGCGGACGGCUCCCUCGAGCGGUACAAGGCACGGUGGGUUGUGCGCGGGUUCUCUCAGCGGCCCGGCGUCGACUUUGAUGAGACGUUCUCUCCCCUCGUCAAGGCGGCCACGAUCCGUGUCGUCCUCACCAUUGCUGCUACGCGCGACUGGCCUGUCCAUCAAAUGGACGUCAACAACGCCUUCCUGCACGGGCGCCUCGCCGAGCGCGUCUACUGUCAACAACCUGCAGGCUUCGUCGACGCCGACUGCCCCGAGCACGUGUGCCUCCUCGACAAGUCGCUCUACGGCCUCAAGCAGGCACCGCGGGCGUGGUUCGCCCGGUUC
rnacentral:rRNA from 1 species